CCCCCUCAGACCAGCAGUCCUGCUGAAGUUGGCGAAAAAAGCGAAUUUCAGCAACGGGAGGGGUUAGAUGAGAUGUCACAGAAGCAGCCUCACCUUCAGCCCUGACCUGCUGCUCCACUUCAGGUUUUCCCUACACACAGAGCUGAUACUGUCUGCUCAGGCAGAGGACCGUGUGAAGGACAGUCAAAAACUAAGAAGGUGACAGUCACGCUUUAAUCUUGCAUAAACACUAUAAUUAUAUUGAAGGGUUUUUUUUAAGUUUUUAACACAU